GACGAACGCUGGCGGCGUGCCUAAUACAUGCAAGUAGAACGCAGUUGCGAACGGGUGAGUAACGCGUAGGUAACCUGCCUCAUAGCGGGGGAUAACUAUUGGAAACGAUAGCUAAUACCGCAUACUUUGAGAUUGACCUGCGUUGUAUUAGCUAGUUGGUGAGGUAAAGGCUCAACAAGGCGACGAUACAUAGUCGACCUGGUAGGGUGAUCGGCCACACUGGGACUGGGACACGGCCCAGAAACCUACGGGAGGCAGCAGUAGGGAAUCUUAGGCAAUGGACGGAAGGCUGGCCAAGCAACUCCGCGUGAGUGAAGAAGGUUUUCGGAUCGUAAAGCUCGGUUGUUAGAGAAGCGGUAGCUAACCAGAAAGGGACGGCUAACUACGUGCCAGCAGCCGCGGUAAUUC
rnacentral:rRNA from 1 species